GAAAGUGAUGAUAGGUUAUGUCGCCCCAGUCAUAGGAUCCAUUGUUUUCAAUGGAUGAUGCUGAUUGACAAGUUUAUCUAUCUGAUUC